AGGUUUUCAGUUUUCUUAGUAGUUCAGCUUGUACUUGAGUCACCAGAUGUAAAUUAGACAUUUCUCUCUUCAGUUCCCAGUAUGCAUGCUGCAUAUUAUCACUGAAAUAAAUUUUUUUACAAAAAGUUAAUACUCAUCAUUCUUUUUUAGACAAAAGGGAAUAACUUUAGAAAUAUGCAGAUCAAGUUUCUGCUCCAAUUAGUUUUGAGAUGAUGUAAACUGAAAAAAACAAUUGAAAGAUAUUUAACUAGGGCAUUAAUAAGUGAAAAGAUCUUGAAAGAAUAACACUGUCCAUCUGAUAUGUAGCAAUUAACUAUUAUAUUAAACGGUAUAAUAAAAAUAAAAUUAUAACUGAUAAGAGCUUCUUGCAGAGUCUCAGAACUGAGAUUUCAUUUUAGGCUGUAAUGUGCAGCUAUUAAUUAGUAAGUAGUAAGAAAUACAUUCUUUAUUUGCAAAUCUGAUUAAGAGUAAAGUUACAUUCAUUCAAAUAUGGAUCAAUUUGUAUUUAUCUUUUGAUUGUUUUGACACUGUGAAUUGAAAUGAUAUAUCAACUGCUGAAUAUAUAUCCAAGUCUACAUUAAAAUAAAAUUUAGGUUUCAUGCAUUACAUUCUUUAUGUUUGACUGGGCUGUCUCAUAAUGUUGGUUCUAAACCAAUGUGACAUGACAGCACAAGACAUGAAGAGCCAGAUGAUUUCCUGGUAAGGAAAAAGAAGCUAGAGAGGGAAGAUUAUAUGAAACAGAAAUAGAAACUUCAAAAAUGCCUCUCCUGUUUUUAUAAUUAAAAGUAUUUUACCUCAAUUAUCUAAGAAAUUAUAAUUAGUGAUUUUAAAUCUAAUUUUUAUAGAUUUUGUUUUCCAUUAAACAUUCAUAUUCAGACAUUCAUGAUUUUCUUUUUUUGCUGCUUAAUUGCCAACUAAAUGAAAUUAAAAUCUUCAGCACAUAUUCUCAUUUUGUUGUACAGGAAUAUCACAAAAUAUUAAAUGUAAGACUAAAUCUUAUAACAUUAAAAAAAAAUUAUUACCCCUUAGAUACUAGUGUAAUUUUAAUAGUACAGAAAUCAAACUAGACAAACGUGUCACCUUAUGCUUCAAUUUUUGUGUUGCCAUAAACACUUAAACUUCAAAAGGAUAACAUUUUUGAAAUCUAAUAUCUCAAAUUACAGAAUAUAGUUUAUAUUUAAUAUAUAAUAUAUAAAAUAUUUUGAAUUCUGUAAGGUGAAAUACCUUUUUGUCAAUAAACUUUACACUGCUUUUCAGAAAAAUCUGCUUUAGUCUGUUGUAAACAUCAUUUGUUAAGUUGUAGUAUAUUAGAAAUCAGAGCUCUUUGCAAGUUUUUAAUAGGUGUCAAAUAAUUAGUUCACAAAAUUAACCAUGUCUACUUCACCAAAAAACAUCUGAGUUGUUUGCUACAAUGAAUGUUUCACAUAGGAACCUGUCUUAAGUGUGAAGAGAGUUGUUGGUUUCUUGGUACAAUUCUAGGCAUUCAGUAUGCUUUCCGAAGAGUUACUCACAUUAUAUAGCAGUAAGUGUAAACACUGAACAUGUGCUAAUUCAUUCAUUCAGUCAUGGUAUGAAUAAUACAGCUUAAAAAUAGUUUAUUAUUGGUGCGAGACAGUAAAUCAGUGCCUGUUUUAGAGAAAAGAAGAGCAAAUACUGAAGACAGUUCUGAGUACUAAAAUACACAGCUAGGCAUGGAAAUAAACAAUUCUAGUAACGUUUACAGUGCCUAAUAAAAACUUUUCAGUUCAAUUUAAUGAAGACUGCUUAAAACUUAGGUUUAGUUAAAAACUAGGUCACUGAGUUUAAUACACAUGUAGUCUUGUUUUUUGCUCUUAAUGUAACCUGAAUUUAAAACUACAGAUAGACAAAUCUAAAAUUAUUACUAAGUAUAGCUCUCCCUCUUGUGGAUAAGAAAAUAACUGCAGUUAGUGUUUCCCACUUUACAGUUAACAUUAAAAGUGCUACAAUCUUCAAAGUGUGUAAAAAAUUAUUUUAAAUUCUAUCUACUUGAACAAAAUGUUUAAACCAUUAUUUAAAUGAUAUUGGAAAAGGCAAGUUGUCAUCCCUAAUUUUUAGCAGGCUUCCAAUUAAACCUCUUAUCUAGGUAUUUCAAAGACAAUGUAUAGAUUGUGACCUUCCUAUCCUCACCGCAGUUCCCCAACUGGGAGUAUAAAGUUUAGUUUUGCUUUAAAUGCCACACAAGCAAAAUGCUAGUAAUAUAUAUAGUUGUCUAUAAAGAACUUAUACAACUACUUAAAAUAUUGAAAUGUUACACUGAAACUUCUCAAAUGAGAACUCUAAAAACAGAUAAAGCACAAAUAAUGAUGGCUGAGCACUUAUUAUAUACUAGGCACUUCACCUACAUUGUCACACCAACUUGGUAAAGUGAGUAACCUCAUUUUACACACGAGGAAAUGGGUUGAGAAGUCUACUCCAGUCUGCCAUGUUGCUGUUCAAAGCUGUCUUUCACUUAACCCGGUCUAAUGACUGAUCACUGCCCUUUUGGAGUAACAUUUUUGAUAUCAUCAUCAAUUACCAAGCACCUACAAUAUGCUGACUGCCAACACAAUCUUAUAAGUUUUAUACUUCUCAGUAUAAAACUUCACAUCUCUGACUUUUAAGUGAAACCUGCAUGUCCACAACUGAAGGAGGGAGUACAUGUCCUGCUUACAAAGUGUAACAGCUAAAAGCCCAGCUUUCUUAAUUGACACUAUAUAUGGAACUCUUUAAUACACAAAUAACUAUUCCUUGUAUAAGAAAAAUCCACUUACUUGAGUUUCUACUUCAGCCAUACAUAUUUUUCUUUAGCAUUUGAAAAUUUACUGAACUAUUACAUCCUCCAUCAUCACAGUAGAAUUAAACUAUGGGAUAUUCUUAGCCAAGAGUUAUAGACUUAAAAGUGUGUAUUUUGACAACUGCGGUUCCCCCCAAACAAGUGGCUCUCAUUUUUUAUUGCAAGGCACAGCAAGAAUCAUUUUACACUGCAACCCAAAGAAAACAAGUUCUAAGAAACCAUACUUACCCUUAUUGUGUGUAAUGCACUCUGGUAUUGGUGUGUUCUUUCUGACUUAUUCCAUAUUUUUAUAAUGCUUAUUAUAACUAAUAAAAUUUCACAGCACUAAGGAAACACAGAAGAGCCUGAUAAACACUAACCUAAUCUUUUUUUUUCUAAACCUGGAAUUUACAUUUUAGGAAGUCAUCUGUAACACAGUUCCACAAUGUAAGUUUACAGAUGAUGAGCAAAAGAAGUACAGCGACUCCCUGUCUAGAUCUGGUUUAAAAACUGAAGCCAUCAACCUAAAGCCAAAAUCAAAACAGGACACUGGCAAGACAUUGGUUAAAUUUCUGAUAGGGCUAUUAUUGUUAAAUGAUGUUUUAUACAAGGAGUAUCAUAUAAAAGGCCUCCAGUAAUUAAAAGGUUCACUCUAUCUUAAGAUAGAGAAACAGUAUACUACACCUCAUUUGCCUAGCAAUAUGAUGGAAGAAAUACAAAAAAGGAGAGUUCCAAAAAAGCAAGUUAUCUAAAUAACUGAAAAAUAUUCCUUAAAAAUAUCUAAACCUUUAGUUAAUGGUUUAAUGGAAAUAUCCCUAUAUACUUUCUCCAAUAUAGUAAACUAAUCUGUCAUCUGAAUUGUUCCUCUUAAAAGUGGAUGAAGUAACUUACAAAGAUUAACAAAACACAAGAACAUAAACUGCAAACAGGCAGAAAUGAUGAGGCGAAAAAUAGAAAACAAAACAAAAUGCAGUGGAGAAUGAGGUUAACAUAAAAAUGCAUGAUAAAAGUUGACCAACAGUAGGCCACAAAUUUGGUUAUAAGUUUUCUAGUACAUAACCAGAAGAGAGAAACCUAAUCAGUUUUGCAGUUCACAUUGUCUACCUGAUACAAAUGCAAACCAAUUUGCAAAAAACCACAAGUGUAUAUGAGCACUAAGAGAGCCACUGGAACAUGCUGUAAUUACACAAUUCUUUACAUACAUACUGUUGGUAUGGCUUUAACGUGAAGUAACUUUUAAACUGAAUUUAAGGCAAUUAUUUCUAAAAACUGUCCUCUGAAUUGAUACUGAGCUUUAAAGAAUUGCGAGACUAUACUCUGGAGCCACAAUUACAGCUUUGCAGCCUUGAAAAUAUCUCCUUGGGACUCAACUUUCCCCAAAUCCUGGCACAGAGAUUUUUUCAGUAUUUUGUUAGUUAUCUGAUGCCUUCAAACAGGUAUUUUCUGGGGGAGUCAGGUUUUCAAGAAAUUCUUAGUGGAUAUGACCCAAAUUAUGUAAUCUCCCAUGAAUGGAAGCAGAAAUUCCAUUCUAUAUCACAUGCUUCAAAUGUACUAUUUAUAUAGCCCCUGUAUUUGAUCUCUUUUGAUGAUAUUAUUCAUUCUCUACUCCUUUCUAAACUGAUUAGAAGUGGCUUAUAAAAAGGACAAUACAGAAAAAUAAGGGGAAACCUAGGUUGACAGGAGAAAAGAUAACAAGAUAAUUUUAAGGAAUAGUUUACAUGGAUACUAUACUAGACACAUUUUUCAAAAAAAGAAAAAGUUUCCUUGCAGUAAACUUAGAUAAAAUUCGAAGGCAUAAUUGAAGUACUGUUCAAAUGGCAGAGUUAAAUAACAACAGAGACUGUACUGCCAGCUCACAAAGCCGAAUAAAACAGUUACUGCUGGCACUUUAUAGAAAAAGUCUGCCAACCCCUGAUCUAGAAGAGUGGCUGUAUCUCAUUUCCUCAAAUUGUUUUUCCUAAUUGAUCAUUUCUCUAAAGCAGGUUUUUGAUAGAAAUUGGCCUGACACAAUUCACAUUAUUUACUUAGGUCAGUAAACUUUGGAAGCCAAAUGAUAAAACAAUGAAGUCAGAUCAGUAUUUUUUAUUGGAUGGAGGGUAACAAUGUAGAGAGGCU
rnacentral:lncRNA from 1 species